rnacentral:rRNA from 1 species
GUGCUGGGGAAUCAGGACUUUUACUUUGAAAAAAUUAGAGUGUUCAAAGCAGGCCUUUGCUCGAAUACGUUAGCAUGGAAUAAUAAAAUAGGGCGUGCGUUUCUAUUUUGUUGGUUUCUAGAGACGCCGCAAUGAUUAACAGGAACAGUCGGGGGCAUCAGUAUUCAGUUGUCAGAGGUGAAAUUCUUGGAUUUACUGAAGACUAACUACUGCGAAAGCAUUUGCCAAGGAUGUUUUCAUUAAUCAGUGAACGAAAGUUAGGGGAUCGAAGACGAUCAGAUACCGUCGUAGUCUUAACCGUAAACUAUGCCGACUAGGGAUCGGGCGAUGUUCUUUUUCUGACUCGCUCGGCACCUUACGAGAAAUCAAAGUUUUUGGGUUCUGGGGGGAUUAUGGUCGCAAGGCUGAAACUUAAAGAAAUUGACGGAAGGUCACCACCAGGCGUGGAGCCUGCGGCUUAAUUUGACUCAACACGGGGAAACUCACCAGGUCCAGAUGAAAUAAGGAUUGACAGAUU